AGCUCAAACAAUCCAACCGCCUUGGCCUCUCCCAGAGUGCUAGGAUUAUAGGCGUGAGCCACCACGCCCGGACCCAAAAUUGUCUCUCUUAAGGCCGUGCACCUAGCUUACCCAUUGGCUUGCUGGGCUGCCAGGUAUGAAGUGGAGUAGGAGCUGGCUCCAGCGGAGACAUUAGGAGGAGGGUACUGGGGUCAGAGCCUCAGAGGAGCUCAGUUGGCCCCUUCAGCUGUAACUUUAAAGACACUCAAACAAUAGCUCUAAGGGCCUCUGCUAGAGUAGCAUGAUAUUUAAAUGCCAUAUGUUCUCAGCUCACAGAUCUUCCUAUGAGUACCAGAAAUACAAAACCACCCUGACCUGUUCAUAUUCCAACCUUAAGAGCCCUGGAUCACACUAUGAAGAGAAUAUCUGUACCUAAUGGUUUUGAUAUAGACUAAUCGACAGCCUUCAUGAAGAAGAGGUCAAAGUACAUAAAAUUUGAACCUAUUCUUCCAUGAAGACUGAUUUUGAAGGCCUAGCCAGAGAGCACCUUGGCAGUAGUGAUGCAAUAUUUGAGGGACUAGUUGAAGUCUCACAUGCAGAAAUUUGAUAAGCACAACCAUCUAGACAAGAUUCUAAAUUUUCUUUACUUUUGAUUCCACAAGUAGCACCUGCAAUUCUUUAUUAUCUUUUAAAAAAUUACUAGUUUUAAAUAAAUAAUCUAUAAAUAUGACAACAAACCACACACUGAAAACUGUUUUCCUCCCACCCCUAUGCGUCAGGCUUUAGUUCUCUUUCCAGGAGGCAACUAUAUUUGACUAGUUUCUUGUGUGUAUUUUCCCAAAGGUAUUCUAUGCAUAUACAUAAAUUUUAAAUUUGUACAUUAUUUUUUAUAAAUUGUAGCAUAUGCACAUAUACACAUCGUUUUGCACCUUGCUUAUUUCACUUAAUAUGUGCCAAUGCCUUCCAGCCAAAGACUAAGGACACACCUCAGUUGAAUAAGUUGGGUUUAUUGUUCAUUGCAGUGGAGGAGAACGCAGACCAUGGGGAACUGUGGAGCAUCUCAGUGGGAGGGUGUUGGAAAGGAUGUGUUACGGGCUUGGGUUAGGUGAUUUGGGGGGAAGGUUUUAAGGAAGUGAGAAUUUGCUCUGGAUUAGAGGCUUUCAGGGCAUGGGGGCAUUUCUAUAAUUGUAUAUCUUAAUAAAUCUUAAGGCAAAAGAAAUGAAACAGCAGUCAUUCAUAUUAGCCAGGAUAGAGGAAUAGUUGGUCAUUUUUGUGGUUUUGAUAAUGUUCAUGUUGUUAUCUGUGUUCAGACAUGAUUACUGAGUAGUCUUGUUUUUGUCUUGAUUCAUCACAGUCAUAGAUCUUAUCUGGUGUUGAUGUUCUGUGAAAUGUUCUGUGUUCCACCGGAGAACAAUAAGGCCUAGCUGAGAGUGCCAGGCCAGCUUCCAGCAUCACCAAUUUCUAGCUAUUAUUGGCCCUACCAUCACCUAGGAGACAUUCCAAGGACCCAAAUUUACCUGUUGCAGAUGGAGGGCUCCAUUACAGAUGUGUAGGAUCUGAGGUAUGGAAGAUGUUUUGAAAGAAUAUUUAUUAGACAUUUAUUUAGUAUCUGUUCUAUGUCAGGCAUUGUUUAAGUGCUGAUGUUUCAGUGGUAAACAUAACAAAGCCCCUGCCUUCAGGAAUCUUUCUAGACAAUAAACAAAUAUAUGAGAAAGAAAAAAGCAUCCCUGACAACUGUCAACUAGUAACUGGCCUGGGUACAGUGGCAUUCUCUUAUUGAACAUAAACAAUUUUAUAAAAUAUCAACAUCAGACAAGGGCUGUGCAUGACUGAUGGAUCAUCUUCACUCAUAAUCAUGCCUGAACAGCAAUAAAGACACUCUGCAACCACAAAAAUUACCAUACAUCUCUCUCUCCUGACUGACAUCACCAGAGUGACACUAUGCUUAAGGAAGGCAGAGAAGACCUCCUCUACCCAGCUCUUCCUGUGAGGGGGCAACUUGCCUGGCCCUGGAGGCUGUUAUCCUAUCAAGCUCUUCUGGGACUUUUGUCAGGAGCGUGGAGGAAUUGAAGGAUGCACAGGGAAAUGGAAGCUGCAGCCUAGCCGACGGAAAAUGCAACAUUAUCUUAGAAAUAGUGCAGUGGAACAAGGCAGCGCUGGGUAUAAUAGGAAGUAGGAUUUUUAACUUGUCUUCACCUAAAUAAAAAAACUUCAUAGUUCAACAAACUAGAAUUUUGAGAACCUUGUUUUUGGUUCAGAGGUCGGCCUUUGCACUAGCCCGGACAACAGAGUGAGAACCUGUCUCAAAAAAAAAGAACAAAAAGAGUAAGCAAGGGGUAGAGUUCAAGAGGCCAGUGCACUUGGAUAUGGAAAUACCCCCUUAGGCACCUUUGUUCCGGGCCUCUGCUCAAAUGCUACCUUUGCAGGUGGGCUCCAGCAGAGGGUGCUACAAACCUCCAGCAGCCUGUGUGUCUUUGUCACUUAGGCACAGAAUGACCUAUGGAAGUUACUGCUUUGAACACAGUGUGUACAUCAGAAUCACCUGGCUCAUUAAAACACAUUGCUAGACCCUACCUCCUGAGUUUGAAAAUGUGGGAGGAAUUUUUAUUUCUAACAGGUUCCCAGGUCAUGCUGAGGCUCGCAGUCAGCUUGGUUCUUUAUCAGAAUGUGAUCAGAAUCCCCUGAAGAGCCUUUCAACACACCCACAAGUUGAGGCAGCAUCUCCUAAGGGCAUUUCAGAAUGGGGUGGAGUGAGAAUGCUGGUAUUUCCCUUAGGCUGUUGUGAAGUACUGUACUCUAUAAAUUGCAAAACUCCACCCGAGUGAUUACUGCAAGCAUCUUGCUUCGUUUUUUAAUUUCCCCAUUCCAUCUUUUCAUUUUGGUUUCCAACUGUACAUUUUUAGUGUGUAGAAAUACAAUUGAGUUUUGGAUGUUGACCUUUUAUCCUGUGAUACUGCCAGACUCAUUGUUUAAUUCUGGGAGUUCUUUUGCAGAUUCCUUAGGAUUUUUGAUACAGUCAUACACAAUCACAGCAUCUAUGAAUAGGGACAGUUUUAUCCUUCCCCCAUUCCAUCUUGAACUCUUGUUUCUCUGGUGGCCAGAACUAGAUCUGCUGACCCCAAUCUGUCAUGAUAUUCAGGAGCAGAAAUGCACCAGUUCACAAAAUAAUUUGACAGUAUUCUGAAUCCUAGCAAAGACCACUACGGGCAAUCAGGGGAAAAACAUUUCAAGUGAUGAUAAGGCUGUUGGCUCUGAGAUGAGAACAAUCUAGCCUUGAUGAAAUACUUUGUCCUCAUCCACCAGAGCUAGAGUAGAAACCCCCCACCUUCUCAUGGUGGGAAGGUUAGGCUCUAGUCAGGAGUGGAAAGAGCCUAGCCUUGAGCACAGUCCUGCCAAUCUGAGCCAGAGUUCGUGAGUGGUCAGGUGUCUGCGUUGUGGCAUCCCAGCAGACUUUUGGGUUAAGCCUUGUUUAGAACAGGGCUUGCCAGAGGUGGAGGUAAUCCUCAGCCCAUUGAAUCGGUCGGGAUUGGUAGCUGCAUUGUCUUGGAGGGCUCUAAAAGGAAAGCAACAGAUUAGCUUCUAAUCUAGGCAGGAGGGGAGAGUUAAUUUGCCUUUUCUGGGCAGCAGUGAAAUGGGGGUAAAUGGCAUCUGGCGAGGGGAGUGUGGGGUCAAUGUAAUAUGUUGUGUCCUCUCUCCCUACACAUUACUGGGUGUCUUCAUAGAUAGGCACUGGGAGCACCACCUCCCUUGGCCCUCCCUUUGGCAAGGCCAUGUUCCUGGGAACUAACUAGUUUAUGGGGUCAGUUCACUAAGCAGCUCCCAUUUACACAGCUUCAUGCUUCUGCUUCUAAACUAGCUAUUCUCAAGGAAAAUAUCAGCAUGCUGUUGGCCUCCCACUCUGGACUCAACCCCUCAUGCCCUGCAAUCCUUCCUGUUAGGAAAACCAUUUAAAAUAGAAAUGGCUGCUGACCUCAACUAUCACACUGUAAUAGGGCUUGGCUUACACGGGGAAGUCCUGGGUUCUGUCUCCUGGUCAUUAUGUAAUGGGACCGUGUGUGAGUUCAGGCAAGUCACCAAACCACUCUGUCUCAAUUUCCUCCUUUGAUAUAACGGAUGGUAAUAUUUGGAAGGCAGGAGGACAGAGUAGUUUAAGGACAUGGACUCUGAAGCCAAGUGCCUGGAUUCAAAUCUUGCCUCCUCCAUUUAUUAGCUAUAUAACCUUGGGAAGUUACUUAACCUCUCUCUCUCAGUUUUGAGGUGGGAAUCAUACUUACCUUCAUAGAGUUAUUAUGAGAAUUAAUGAGUUAAUACUUACAAAAAAUGUAAAACAGCUGGCACAUCAUAAGUGUUAUAUAUUAUUACCAUAUUAUAAGUAUCUUCUGAGUUCAUAAUGUAAAAGCACUUCGAAAAGUGAUAUCCACCCUGUAACUUGCCUUAUUAUUAUCAAAGGUAUUUAAUAGUGGGGUCAGUUACACCUAACCUGCAGAGUAAGUGGGCUUUUUUGAAUGUCACCUUCCCAAAUCUCUGAUAAGCUGCCCAUGCCUGGGUGAUUUCUCUGCCCACAGAUCUCGACCCUGGUCCCCAGUUAUUUAUUCAGAGCCUGUAGAUGCUGAAUUUAGGAUUAAGAACUGAAGACAUCACAUUCCCAGGGAAUGGCUUAACCACCUCUGCAGGAAGGAGAUGGGUAGGGAGGCCUUAAUAGGCAGCAGGAUAAGGACAGUGCCCUGGCAUGGGCCAGAGACCUGAGAGGGAAUUAUGAGAAACCUGGCUCUUGUGCCAACCUUCUGGGGAACUGGAGGAUAGUCCCUCUAGGCCCCAGUUUCCCCGUCUCUACAAGAGGAACAAAAGUCCCUGUUCUCACUUCGCAUGAUGCUUGAAAGAAGACAGUGAGUUAAUAUGAAAUAGAUCCCAGAUAUAAAAAAAGAAAAGGUAUCACUGGAGUUUAAGGUUAUAUUAAUACUAUCACUUGGUUAAUUACCAUACCUGAACCAAGGCUCCCUGAAAAGCGAGCUUUAUUGCAGAGUCAGAAUGUAUGAGCAAGCAGUGUGUACUCUUUUGAUAGAAGGCUCUCUUGCUGGCACUGACUUUUGCCCUGUCAAGCCUUUUCUGCUAAAUUGUCCUCUGCUAAACUGUACUCAUUGAAGGCUUUGGUUGAGACUGUAGAAAUUUGACUGGCCACCCUGCCCCUCAGUUUUUCCAGUGUCCUGUGGUCUGCAUGGUCAGGAGCCCAAGAAAGACAUUUUUUGCUUUUCAGCCCUGUUGCAUUCACCCCACAUCAUACAGGAGUUUUUGCAGUGGGCACCAAGUCCUCUGUGGUAGGGCUGCGUGCUCUUUUGCAAUGUGACUUCACCACUCCUUCCAUCAAGAGAUGAAGUCUGUUUCCUCAACCAUGGUAAGGACUAUCCUUGUGGCUUGCUUUGACUAAUAAAACUUGGUGGAAGCGAUGUCAUGUGACUCAUCACAUCAAGAGGCCUUGCAGCUUUCACUUUCAUCCUCUUGGGAUGUUGGCCUGAAACUGCCAUGCCAUGAAGGAGCUUGGGAUAAAACAUCUUGUAAGAAGAAAGAAGCCUAGCUGAGCCCAGUCCUGAUGUAGUUGCAUGAGUAAGCCAAGUAGAGACCAGAAGAACUGUCCAGUCAAUGCUCAGCAUCAUAGAUGUCUUCUGUCAUCAACUGUUUUCUGCCACUAAGUUUUCGUAUGCUUGGUUAGGUGGCAAAAGAUAACAGGUACACCUAACAUUUUAUUCCUAAGGCCUCCUGUACCUUGAAAAGCCUGGCUCUACUGCAUUAAGAGGUCAGAGUAUGUUUUUCUAGUCUUCUUAGCUAAUAUCCUGUUCCACACUGUCUUGAAGUCUGACAUUUUUUUUUUCAUUGAUACUUGCUAUUUUAUUUAGUCAUCUUGUUAGGAACAAAAGGUAAAGAAUUCACAAAUGCCACCAAUUAAGCACAUGUUUUAAAUUAAACAUCAGUCUUCAGCUUGCAAAAUAAUUUCUUUGUAAUUAAGCAAAUAGCAGCGGAAGACCCAUAUCAGUUGCUUCUUUCUUCCUAGAGAAGUUGGCAGGAUAACUGCAUCUUAGGGGUUUCUCUGUGUUGAUUCUUCUUUGGAUUUCUCUGAGUUCAGAAUUUUGUUUUCCAUUUGAGAUGAAUGCAAAAGCAGCUAAAGGUCAAGGAAAAUGUUCUUCCUGUGAUAAGGAACCUUUGCUUUCGUGUAGAUGACCACUUGCGUAAAAAGGUCAAGGAAAGGCCGGGCCC